CGCGCUGGAUCCGCCCUUCGCCCCCCCUCUCCCCCCACGCCGCUGGAGCCGCCGUCUGAGCUGCCCUUCGCCACAGGCCGCCGCCGUGCCGCUCGCCGUUGUUCCUCUUCUGCUUCACAUGAGACUACUGGUGCACGGGCGGGAGGAUUUCCCUAGCCCUGCCCCGUCCUCUCAUCUCUUGAUCUGAUUGAAGCCACGGCCUGGGAAUGGCAACUGAGUCGGCGGCGGUGGCCGACAUGCGGAAGGCGCCCUCCAUUGAGUGGCGGUGGGUGUCCGCGGGGAGGAGGAGGACGACAAGCUGGAGGGCCCGCGACCGUCGGGGCGGCGGGAAGGGGCUGCACCUUCGAGUUCGAGGACGAGGAGGACAACGUCGACUACGAGGACGAGGACGAGGAGCACCGGAAGGCCAGGAAACUCCUGUCACGCACGGCCACCGCCAAACUGCCUCGCGGCCACCCCCGUCCGCUGGUGGCGAUCUUUGUGCCUCCAACCGAUGGCGAUGACCAUGCCUUUUUCAUGGAGCAGACGAUAUUGGAUCUGAGUUCGUGAAGGAGGAGCAAAUGGAUAUUUGGAUUUGUGUUGCUCCUUAUUAAUAUAUGUACAAACGUGUUUUCUUCAGGUGCAAUGACACCGUGGCAGCCAUGGAGAAUAUAUGCAUGAAGCCGUGAGCAUAUGAUGAUGGUAACAAUCAACUAAGCUUCAACAACUUAUAACUGCAUGGCGAGUGGUCGAAUGCAUGCCUCCCCACACCUCUGUCGAUCCUUUUUUUCUGGUAUAAACAGAAUCUCAUUGUGCCAUCUCACAUUGCCAAUACCAGCCCCUCAAAGUAGUAUUAUAGCCUCUAUCACUCAAAUAACUUGAUACAAUUUGUCUCCUAUCAUUUCAAAUGUGAUUGCCUUCUAUUCCGCAUUAUUUAAAGUUGUUGCCGAAACCUUCUCCAUGUAGUGCCUUUCCUCAUCAUAUGAGCUGCUAGCCCGCGCGCACUAGCUAAUUUUUGUUCACCCUUUCUUCCCUAUAAUCUUUCUCUCUGCUUUUACUUCGCGGUCCUGUAGCUGUAUAUUAGGAUGAUAUGCUGAGCACAUAUAAGAUCGUCACAAGCAAGAUAGCUGGACUAUGGAGUGCCUAGGGCAGUGGUAAUUCAUAAAUUGCAUGAUGUUUAAUGGGAAGCAUUUGAGAGUACCAAUGUCCAGUAGUAAGAUCUGAUUUUAUAGGUGAUCAAGCCAAUAUAAGUGUACGUGCAUCCCCUUUUAGUACAGAUUUAUAAAAAAUAUGAUAUAUGCUAUGAUAUUUUCCAGAACAGUUGGCCCUUGAUCUUGAGGCACUCAUGUGUAUUGCUUUUCUUCCUAGAGAAAUACAUGUCUAUUGAUUAUUAUUGGAAUUGGUUUGAAGAAACAGAGUAUGAUCUUCUUUCACAAGUAGUGAUCAUAAAACAACAGGGAGAGGCGUUUUAGCUCCCGGAGGGUGUUUCAGCGGUGUGCUCGAGGACGAGCGUUGACAGCGCGGGUGUCCGAUUUCCAGCGGCGUAGACAUGGCGAUGGAUUUCCCAUCUCUCCGGUAGACAGGUUGCCCAUCUUCCUGGAUGAGGCGGCUAGCGCGGUGGCCCUAAUGGAUUUGAUUGGUGGCGAAGAGGAAUCCGCCAAUGGAUCUUGUGGGGCUGUUGUCGCCGGAUUUGCGCAUGACUCAUCUGGGCAGUUCGUACGUGGUGUUGUGUGCAGCAAGGAGAGGACUGUAGCUACCGGUGGUGCCGCCAUGUCCGGUUUCAGUGAGAGCGAGGGUGACAACGCAGAUGCAAUUGACCAAGCCGACGACCAAAGCACAUAUUGAUGAACACCAAGAGGCUGUGAUUUAAGAUCGAACUGAAAGUGGUGAUGGAGGGUCUGCUCAAUCUACUACUUGCAAGGUGGAUCCGCAAGCCCCUGGGUGGACUUAGAGAGUAAGAGUCGGGAAUCAGCCAAUGGAUAGAGCCCCAUGCCCAGAAAGAUUAGACACGCUGGAGGAGACAAUUCGAGGACAUGCAGAUAAAUUGGGAGACCAUGUAGUUGAGCCUGCUAUUGGCUUAACAUUCAACUCCUUGGGUGAAGCAUAUGAUUUUUGCAACCUUUAUUCGUGGGAGCAUGGUUUUGGUAUCAGGACACCCUGUCCCAGCGGGCUCGGCACACUCUCCGCUCCGCUGAAAUUACAGGACACCCUGUCCCAGCAGGCUCGACACUCUCUGCUCCGCUGAAAUUACAGGACCGGACACUAUGUCUGGGAAGAAUUUGUGCACUGGAGCAAAUGAUUUAGGGGUAUACAGAUUAGUUGGGUGAGCACGGUGCUAUUGGGCUAACACUAGACCCUAUGUAAGAAACCUAUGGUUUUUACAAUCUUUAUUCAUGGAAGCAUGGUUUCACCAUUAAAUAUUAUGGAAAAAGUAGGCUUAAUGUCAGGAAGACAAAAUGUAUAAAGGAAGUUUUCUGCGGAUGGUUGGGAGAGGAGAGUGGUGCAGCAGUGGUGGCAGGAGGAAGAAGAUUGCUCCAUCCAUCAGUUGGCCGAGCUCCGGCGUCCUCACGUCAGGCUUGGUUUGGAGUGCUGACAAUGAAGCAUUCUACAUGGUAUGCAUUCAGAUCCGCUUCAUCUGCUAGACGCUAAAUCGAGUCAAUGGACCAAUUGGCUAGAAUUAGAAAUUAACUGUGUGUAUUUUGUGUUUGCGUCUCCGUGUAUUUUGCUGAACGCUUAGUGUGUUCAUCGCUGGGAGGAACUAUCUCUAAAUUAGUUG